GAAAAGCACAACCAUACCUUUGGCUUACAGGUUCAGCGGCGGCCGCUCUCAAGGAUGGACGGAGGAAGAGUGACGAGAGAGCGGCCACCCGAGUCGGUACGAAACAACGACCCUCUUGUUCGAGCCUUGUCUCGAACACAAAACACCAAAAAACUGUUAUAAACAUGAACUCGAUGGCGCAAAUACCGCACAGAUUUACCACAACUGGUGAACAACACUGAAAACCUGACGAAUACACCAAUACAGUGUUUACAGGCAGCAUAAGUCACAAGCUUUCCGUGUUGGUAACGAAGGUGUCUGGUUCCCUGGUUGGCUGCUUUGUGCUACCUAACAGCUGUGCACAUUGCGGGACUUCCUAAUGCUCCCACUAACACAUUUAUUACUGUGCAGCGGUGACACUCUUCUGCUGCUCACCGGACAUGAGCACCUAUAAGACACGACGCUCGAGUAAUAUUCCCUUUAAUCAGCCUUGGCGAGCAGCCGCGUUCCUCUGGGUUCUGCGUUCCACAGCCCAGCGAGGCAACGACCUAACUGGCAGACCAAACAAACGGACUGAGUCGUAAGAUUACAAACUAGUUUGUGACCUACGGCCUGCUUAGUCUAUCUCUAUAUAAGUAUUUGUCAUUUUCUCAGACUAACACCAAACCUUUCAUCCUGACUGCCUACAACCACUGUGUUGGAUGAGAUAAAUUACAAUCUGAUUCAAUUAACGACUAGUUUAGGACCAAUACACACCAAAAAAAAAAAAAUGUUCACAGUGGCAAAAGUCCUGUGAAUGACUAGAGACACGGUGCGUGUGGUAUACCCUGAGUGAUGGCUAGGGACGAGAGUGUGGCGGCGACGCGGUGCACCCCUCGCCGCGGCGGUGAUGGCGACGUGAGGCGUUGUGCUGCCUUGUGUGUGAGUCUGUGAGGGUGAGGAGCUGCUGGGUGAGUCAGUGCCUUCCAUGGUGAGUCCUUGUGCUAGUCUCAGUGCACGUGAAAAAUGUAGUGCGUCAGUAUCUUACUGCGUGAGUCAGUGCCUUGUUGGGUGCCGGUGUGGCGUCGAGUCUCGUGCCCUUGAGUUGGUCGUUCGCCUGUUGACAUACACACAACGGUGGAUGAAUUUCGGCACGGCACCGUGUCUUUUGUCGACUGCUUGUCAUACAAGGGGUGCAGGUUCUCGUUUGUCACAUUUACCGGCAUACAAGGGAAGCAGGUUAUCUCAUUUGUCACAUUUACCGGCAUACAAGAGGUGCAGGUUAUCUCAUUUGUCACAUUUACCGGCAUACAAGGGGUGCAGGUUAUCUCAUUUGUCACAUUUACCGGCAUACAAGGGGUGCAGGUUAUCUCAUUUGUCACAUUUACCGGCAUACAAGGGGUGCAGGUUAUCUCAUUUGUCACAUUUACCGGCAUACAAGGGGUGCAGGUUAUCUCAUUUGUCACAUUUACCGGCAUACAAGGGGUGCAGGUUAUCUCAUUUGUCACAUUUACCGGCAUACAAGGGGUGCAGGUUAUCUCAUUUAUCACAUUUACCGGCAUACAAGGGGUGCAGGUUAUCUCAUUUGUCACAUUUACCGGCAUACAAGGGGUGCAGGUUAUCUCAUUUAUCACAUUUACCGGCAUACAAUGGGUGCAGGUUAUCUCAUUUGUCACAUUUACCGGCAUACAAGGGGUGCAGGUUAUCUCAUUUAUCACAUUUACCGGCAUACAAGGGGUGCAGGUUAUCUAAUUUAUCACAUUUACCGACAUUGUCCCACCCGUUUUUU